AGAUUGAACGCUGGCGGCAUGCCUUACACAUGCAAGUCGAACGGCAGCACGGGAGCAAUCCUGGUGGCGAGUGGCGAACGGGUGAGUAAUAUAUCGGAACGUGCCCAGUCGUGGGGGAUAACGCAGCGAAAGCUGUGCUAAUACCGCAUACGAUCUAUGGAUGAAAGCGGGGGAUCGCAAGACCUCGCGCGAUUGGAGCGGCCGAUAUCAGAUUAGCUAGUUGGUGGGGUAAAAGCCUACCAAGGCGACGAUCUGUAGCUGGUCUGAGAGGACGACCAGCCACACUGGAACUGAGACACGUCAGACUCCGUACGGGAGCGAGCGAGG
rnacentral:rRNA from 1 species